CUCGUAGGCGGCCAACUAAGUCAGAUGUGAAAUCCCUCGGCUUAACCGGGGAACUGCGUCUGAUACUGGAUGGCUAGAGUGUGGGAGAGGGAUGCGGAAUUCCAGGUGUAGCGGUGAAAUGCGUAGAUAUCUGGAGGAACACCGGUGGCGAAGGCGGCAUCCUGGACCACGACUGACGCUGAGUGUAGCGAAAGCCAGGGGAGCAAACG
rnacentral:rRNA from 1 species